rnacentral:rRNA from 1 species
AGAGUUUGAUUCUGGCUCAGAACGAACGCUGGCGGCGUGGAUAAGACAUGCAAGUCGAACGAGAGAAUUGCUAGCUUGCUAAUAAUUCUCUAGUGGCGCACGGGUGAGUAACACGUGAGUAACCUGCCCCCGAGAGCGGGAUAGCCCUGGGAAACUGGGAUUAAUACCGCAUAGUAUCGAAAGAUUAAAGCAGCAAUGCGCUUGGGGAUGGGCUCGCGGCCUAUUAGUUAGUUGGUGAGGUAACGGCUCACCAAGGCGAUGACGGGUAGCCGGUCUGAGAGGAUGUCCGGCCACACUGGAACUGAGACACGGUCCAGACACCUACGGGUGGCAGCAGUCGAGAAUCAUUCACAAUGGGGGAAACCCUGAUGGUGCGACGCCGCGUGGGGGAAUGAAGGUCUUCGGAUUGUAAACCCCUGUCAUGUGGGAGCAAAUUAAAAAGAUAGUACCACAAGAGGAAGAGACGGCUAACUCUGUGCCAGCAGCCGCGGUAAUACAGAGGUCUCAAGCGUUGUUCGGAAUCACUGGGCGUAAAGCGUGCGUAGGCUGUUUCGUAAGUCGUGUGUGAAAGGCGCGGGCUCAACCCGCGGACGGCACAUGAUACUGCGAGACUAGAGUAAUGGAGGGGGAACCGGAAUUCUCGGUGUAGCAGUGAAAUGCGUAGAUAUCGAGAGGAACACUCGUGGCGAAGGCGGGUUCCUGGACAUUAACUGACGCUGAGGCACGAAGGCCAGGGGAGCGAAAGGGAUUAGAUACCCCUGUAGUCCUGGCAGUAAACGGUGCACGCUUGGUGUGCGGGGAAUCGACCCCCUGCGUGCCGGAGCUAACGCGUUAAGCGUGCCGCCUGGGGAGUACGGUCGCAAGAUUAAAACUCAAAGAAAUUGACGGGGACCCGCACAAGCGGUGGAGUAUGUGGUUUAAUU